UUGUUGUUGUUACAUACUACAUUUAAAAUGACUUAAAUCUAGGCGUUGUGUCACUGGCCUACACACAAUACCCCAAAAUGUCAAAGUGGAUGUUUGAUUUUGAUUUUUAUUUUUAAAUGAAUUAAAAAUGAAAAGCUGAAAUGUCGAGUCAAUAAGUAUUCAAACCCUUUAUGGAAAGCCUAAAUAAGUUCAGCAGUAAACAUGUCACAUUUGGGAUGGCAGGUAGCCUAGUGGUUAGAGUGUAGAGGAGGCAGGUAGCCUAGUGGUUAGAGUGUAGAGGAGGCAGGUAGCCUAGUGGUUAGAGUGUAGAGGAGGAAGGUAACCUAGUGGUUAGAGAGUAGAGGUGGCAGGUAACCUAGUGGUUAGAGUGUAGAGGAGGCAGGUAGCCUAGUGGUUAGAGUGUAGAGGUGGUAGGUAGCCUAGUGGUUAGAGUGUAGAGGUGGUAGGUAGCCUAGUGGUUAGAGUGUAGAGGAGGCAGGUAGCCUAGUGGUUAGAGUGUAGAGGUGGCAGGUAGCCUAGUGGUUAGAGUGUAGAGGAGGCAGGUAGCCUAGUGGUUAGAGUGUAGAGGUGGCAGGUAACCUAGUGGUUAGAGUGUAGAGGUGGCAGGUAACCUAGUGGUUAGAGUGUAGAGGUGGCAGGUAGCCUAGUGGUUAGAGUGUAGAGGAGGCAGGUAGCCUAGUGGUUAGAGUGUAGAGGAGGCAGGUAGCCUAGUGGUUAGAGUGUAGAGGAGGCAGGUAGCCUAGUGGUUAGAGUGUAGAGGAGGCAGGUAGCCUAGUGGUUAGAGUGUAGAGGAGGCAGGUAGCCUAGUGGUUAGAGUGUAGAGGAGGCAGGUAACCUAGUGGUUAGAGUGUAGAGGUGGCAGGUAGCCUAGUGGUUAGAGUGUAGAGGUGGCAGGUAGCCUAGUGGCUAGAGUGUAGAGGAGGCAGGUAGCCUAGUGGUUAGAGUGUAGAGGAGGCAGGUAGCCUAGUGGUUAGAGUGUAGAGGAGGCAGGUAACCUAGUGGUUAGAGUGUAGAGGUGGCAGGUAGCCUAGUGGUUAGAGUGUAGAGGUGGCAGGUAGCCUAGUGGUUAGAGUGUAGAGGAGGCAGGUAGCCUAGUGGUUAGAGUGUAGAGGAGGCAGGUAGCCUAGUGGUUAGAGUGUAGAGGAGGCAGGUAGCCUAGUGGUUAGAGUGUAGAGGAGGCAGGUAGCCUAGUGGUUAGAGUGUAGAGGAGGCAGGUAGCCUAGUGAUUAGAGUGUAGAGGAGGCAGGUAGCCUAGUGGUUAGAGUGUAGAGGAGGCAGGUAGCCUAGUGAUUAGAGUGUAGAGGAGGCAGGUAGCCUAGUGGUUAGAGUGUAGAGGAGGCAGGUAGCCUAGUGGUUAGAGUGUAGAGGAGGAAGGUAACCUAGUGGUUAGAGAGUAGAGGUGGCAGCUAACCUAGUGGUUAGAGUGUAGAGGUGGCAGGUAGCCUAGUGGUUAGAGUGUAGAGGAGGCAGGUAGCCUAGUGGUUAGAGUGUAGAGGAGGAAGGUAGCCUAGUGGUUAGAGAGUAGAGGUGGCAGGUAACCUAGUGGUUAGAGUGUAGAGGUGGCAGGUAGCCUAGUGGCUAGAGUGUAGAGAUGGCAGGUAACCUAGUGGUUAGAGUGUAGAGGUGGCAGGUAACCUAGUGGUUAGAGUGUAGAGGAGGCAGGUAGCCUAGUGGUUAGAGUGUAGAGGAGGCAGGUAGCCUAGUGGUUAGAGUGUAGAGGAGGAAGGUAACCUAGUGGUUAGAGAGUAGAGGUGGCAGGUAACCUAGUGGUUAGAGAGUAGAGGUGGCAGGUAACCUAGUGGUUAGAGUGUAGAGGUGGCAGGUAGCCUAGUGGCUAGAGUGUAGAGGUGGCAGGUAACCUAGUGGUUAGAGUGUAGAGGUGGCAGGUAGCCUAGUGGUUAGAGUGUAGAGGUGGUAGUUAGCCUAGUGGUUAGAGUGUAGAGGUGGCAGGUAGCCUAGUGGUUAGAGUGUAGAGGUGGCAGGUAGCCUAGUAGCUAGAGUGUAGAGGUGGCAGGUAACCUAGUGGUUAGAGUGUAGAGGUGGCAGGUAGCCUAGUGGCUAGAGUGUAGAGGUGGCAGGUAACCUAGUGGUUAGAGUGUAGAGGUGGCAGGUAGCCUAGUGGUUAGAGUGUAGAGGUGGUAGUUAGCCUAGUGGUUAGAGUGUAGAGGUGGCAGGUAGCCUAGUGGCUAGAGUGUAGAGGUGGCAGGUAACCUAGUGGUUAGAGUGUAGAGGAGGAAGGUAACCUAGUGGUUAGAGAGUAGAGGUGGCAGGUAACCUAGUGGUUAGAGUGUAGAGGAGGCAGGUAGCCUAGUGGUUAGAGUGUAGAGGUGGUAGGUAGCCUAGUGGUUAGAGUGUAGAGGUGGUAGGUAGCCUAGUGGUUAGAGUGUAGAGGUGGUAGGUAUACUGUACCACACAUACACACAGUACCUCAUCUCUGUAGCUCACACAUACAGAUACUGUACCACACAUCCACACAUACAGAUACUGUACCACACAUACACACAUACAGAUACUGUACCACACAUACACACAUACUGAUACUGUACCACACAUCCACACAUACAGAUACUGUACCACACAUCCACACAUACAGAUACUGUACCACACAUACACACAUACAGAUACUGUACCACACAUACACACAUACUGAUACUGUACCACACAUCCACACAUACAGAUAAUUGUAAGGUCAAACAAAAGAUUCAACCACAAAGACCAGGGAGGUUUUCCAAUGCCUCGCAAAGACCAGGGAGGUUUUCCAAUGCCUCGCAAAGACCAGGGAGGUUUUCCAAUGCCUCGCAAAGACCAGGGAGGUUUUCCAAUGCCUCGCAAAGACCAGGGAGGUUUUCCAAUGCCUCGCAAAGACCAGGGAGGUUUUCCAAUGCCUCGCAAAGACCAGGGAGGUUUUCCAAUGCCUCGCAAAGACCAGGGAGGUUUUCCAAUGCCUCGCAAAGACCAGGGAGGUUUUCCAAUGCCUCGCAAAGACCAGGGAGGUUUUCCAAUGCCUCGCAAAGACCAGGGAGGUUUUCCAAUGCCUCGCAAAGACCAGGGAGGUUUUCCAAUGCCUCACAAAGACCAGGGAGGUUUUCCAAUGCCUCACAAAGACCAGGGAGGUUUUCCAAUGCCUCACAAAGACCAGGGAGGUUUUCCAAUGCCUCGCAAAGACCAGGGAGGUUUUCCAAUGC